CGUGGGUGACCUGCCCUCUACUUCGGGAUAAGCUUGGGAAACUGGGUCUAAUACCGGGUAUGCACUGUCUGCUGCAUGGUGGGUGGUGGAAAGCUCCUGCUCUUUGGGGUGGGUGUGGUGGGGGAUGGGCCCGCGGCCUAUCAGCUUGUUGGUGGGGUGAUGGCCUACCAAGGCUUCGACGGGUAGCCGGCCUGAGAGGGCGUCCGGCCACACUGGGACUGAGAUACGGCCCAG
rnacentral:rRNA from 1 species